rfam:Gossypium arboreum cultivar AKA8401 contig_71313_1, whole genome shotgun sequence.
AUGACCUUACUUGAACAGGAUCUGUUCUAUAGGCUCGUAUCUUAUGUAUCCAUAAGUUCAAAGGAGACAGGAUUUCUAAUCUGGUUGACGAAUCGAGACUGUGAUCAGAGCGUGAUUAAUGGUGAGGUGAUUCCUUGCUGGUCUACCUUAACCGCAGAGGAUCGUCAUCAGCUGGCCUUGUCUAGCUGGGGAUGGUCACACAGUUGUCUGACAGACC